CCCACCAUCAUCUCUUUGGUUGCCAAGCAGUCAUCCAUCCCGAGUGCUACCGUAGCAAUCUCUCUUUACGUCCAUUGAAAUACUUAUUACACACUGCAGGAGGACUGAAUGCAGCCCUUGGGUAUAAAAGGACAGCUCCAGGGGCGGUUUUCAUUGUUGUAUUGUUCCCUUACACCAUGACUCUGGGAUUUUGCAACUAAACCAUGUUCAUAAACGUGUGUUGAACUGCAGGCCAUUUCUCCGCGGGGGAGAGAAAAUCUUUAAGGGGUCUCCGGAAUUAAACGUGACAGCCAAGUCACCUUCAAGUACGUCGCAUGCAGCACCAACACUAACCCCUGGGCGCCGCACUUGCGGCUCGGCCGCCGGAGAGUGUGAGUGGCUCCCGCCAGGGAUUCACAGCUCACCAGCCAGGCCGUUCACGGGGGCGGGGCCACACGCCCCUCAGCCCGGUCGGGACCGCCCUUGAGCGGGUCCGGUGGGCGCCACCCUCGAAAGGUGGAAUCUGAGAAGGCCGAAGGCUGAGGAGCCGACGGAGGGGUACCUGAUAAGACCCGCCGGUUAGGGCCAGCUCCGCUAGGACCGCUCGGCCAUUUGCAAUGCAGCUGUAGGUGAUCGUCAUAGUGGGCGAGCUAAUGAAGGAAGAGCUCCCGCCACAUCUAACCGCCCGCAACAGUCCCGGGGCGGUGACUGGGGCGGGGCUUCGUGAGAGGACGAUGUCUGCGCAGGCGCGAGGGCCGGUUGAUUGGCAGGCAGGGAGGCGGGGCCAUCUCGUGCCUGGGCUGAAACAGAUGAAACCGGGCGAGGUCUCUGAAAAAACUGGGUUUGGUUGCUCAAUAAAUGCCAGCCACAUGUUGAAUGAAGCUGUGUAAAGACUUCUACUUUUAAAAAGAUGAUGCGUCUUCGUCUCCAUCCCCUUGAACUCAUACACUCCCAUGUGAUUGAUUUUCUCUGGAAAACAAAAUGUGAGCAGAAGAGAAAAGGUGAGUCAUUUCUAGGCAAAGCUUUAAGAGCCAACAUGUAGCUCUUCAUUCUUUUUCUUCUUCUGCCAAAGCUCAGUAGGGCUCUGUGUGAAGGCUGGGCUCUAUCAGCUUGGACUUCCCGUGAAGCCUGGCAUGGAGCUGGGACUGCUCGAUGCUGGAGAUGUCAUGUGAAUGAGAAAGAAACCUUUGUUUUGAAGUCUCUACAGUCUGUUUUGAAGUCUCACUUAGUCUGUCUUCACUGACGCAUGUAAAAUCGAUGCUGUUUGGGAUGGAGCCAUCCAUUAAUGUAACAUCUGUGGGCACCGACACAGCUAAUGACCAACAGUCCAGUGUCCUCCAGGGGUCUGUGGUCCAGCUUAUACAGAUAAAUAGUUAAGAAGUCAGGUCUGGCCUGCCGCACUGCCAUGCCCUCUCCUCCACCCCAGUGUUGGUUUCCAUGUUUCUACCCAAGGCUAGAUGUCUCCUGACUUUAUGUAUCCAAACACAUGCUUCAAUAUUACUGCACACUUUUGGUACUUUAUUGGAUUUAACAAAUUACAUAAUUCCUGCUUAUUAUUAUAAAUUAAGCAACAUGAACAUAUAUAAAGAAAAAAAUUAUUCUUUCUUCCUCUCUCUCCUUCCAAUGGUGUGUAUCCUUGUACAGAUGUUCUAGGCAAAUACAUAUAUGUUUGUUUUCAACAUCCAUCUAUUUGUUUAUUUAUUUGGCUGUGUCGGGUCUUAGUUGUGGCACGCAGGAUCUUCAGUUAUGGCAGGUGAACUCUAGUUGCAGCAUGUGGGACCCAGUUCCCUGACUAGGGAUUGAACCUGGGCCCCCUGCAUUGGGAGCAUGGAGUCCUAGCCACUGGACCAUCAGGAAGUCCCUAGGAAAAUAUAUGUAGAUAAAUAGGGUCAUUUUUAAGGAUUAUCCUCCCGUGAGCAUUACUCUGCCAAGGCGUGAAUUUUAAGUCACUUCAGCCCUGUCUGACUCUGUGACCCCAUGGACUGUAGCCCGCCAGGCUGCUCUGUCCAUGGGGAUUCUCCAGGCAAGAAUACUGGAGUGGGUUGUCGUGCCCUCCUCUAGGGGAUCUUCCCAACCCAGGGACUGAACCCAGGUCUCCUGCAUUGCAAGUGGAUUCUUUACUGUCUGAGCCACCAGGGAAGCCCCAGUGUCCAAAUCACUCUUGUUAAUACUUCAUUAAAUCCCUUUUGUGAACCCUGUGAGGCAGGUACUGUUAUCAUCAACCUAUGCCAUUUGAGAAAAUAGAAGCCUUGAAACAUUGAGUCAUUUGUGAAUGUCACUCACAUAGAUUAGGACAUGGUGGAGUGAGAAACCCAGGCAGCCUGACUUCACGCUCCAUGCUUUGAACCUCCAAGUUAUAUCACUUCUGUGGUUGCAUAAUAGUCUGUGAAUGAAUGGACUGUAAUUUAUUCAAGCAUUUCCCUGUUGAUGGAGGUCUAGGUGGUUUCCUGUUUUCCUCUUUUGAUUUUGUUCCCACAAACAGUGUUGAAAUAAACAACAACAUGCGGAUGCUCUUUUUUCCUGU
ensembl:lncRNA